AGCGAACGCUGGCGGCAGGCUUAACACAUGCAAGUCGAACGACGUAGCAAUAAGGAGCGGCAGAAGGGUGAGUGACACUAGUGAACGUACAGUUUGUUUCGGAACGAAAUGGGGAAACUUGUGCUAAUAACGGAUAAGCCCUUACGGGGAAUGAGUGAUCGCUGAAAGAUAGGAACGAGUGUAAUUAGCAAGUAAGUGAGGUAACGGCUGACAAAGGCGACGAGCAGUAGCUGGUCUGGGAGGAUGAUCAGCGACAAUGGGACUGAGACACGGCCCAGACUCCUACGGGAGGCAGCAGUGGGGAAUAUUGGACAAUGGGCGCAAGCCUGAUCCAGCCAUGCCGCGUGAGUGAUGAAGGCCCUAGGGUUGUAAAGCUCUUUUGUGCGGGAAGAUAAUGACUGUACCGCAAGAAUAAGCCCCGGCUAACUUCGUGCCAGCAGCCGCCGUAA
rnacentral:rRNA from 1 species